UGAGCAAUCUGCCCUUCUCAUCGGAAUAAGCGUUGGAACGACGUCUAAUGCCGAAUACGACCUCCUUUCACAUGAUCGGAGGUGGAAAGCUCCGGCGGAGAAGGAUGAGCUCGCGGCCUGUCAGCUAGUUGGUGUGGGUAAUGGCCCACCAAGGCGACGACGGGNNGCGCNGNGNGGNGACGACCACACGUACGGACGU
rnacentral:rRNA from 1 species